AAACCCUAAACACCAAGUGAUUAGAGUGCAAACACUUCCGAUGAGGGUUCGAUGCUCAAUCCUUUGAUUCCCGGUUCUCGCGAGCAUUCCUCAUGCAAGGUUGCACAUAUUGCAUUUGAUGCUUAGAAAGUGGCAAGUCCUAUGCUUUGACCACCAUCAUGUCCCAUGUGCUCGCAUAUGUCCUAAGAAGGCUAAUUUGUUCCCAACCAAGUGGAUAGUAACACUAGUCAUAGUUGCAUGCAUAUAAGUAGAGGACUAGUCUUGGUUUAAGUGUGCUAUAUAAGUAGAGAAGUAGAAUUCUAUUUAGGUUUCUUUAGUGACU